UCCCCGUUUAAGCGAGGCAGUCUGUCCAGAGUGCUUCCUGCUCUCGCAGGAGUGGCAACAGGACACGAGGGUUGCGCUCGUUGCGGGACUUAACCCAACAUCUCACGACACGAGCUGACGACAGCCAUGCAGCACCUGUGUAAGCUCCCCUUGCGGGGUCGUCACCCUUUCAGGCUUCUACUACCUACAUGUCAAGGCCAGGUAAGGUUCUUCGCGUUGCAUCGAAUUAAGCCACAUACUCCACCGCUUGUGCAGGCCCCCGUCAAUUUCUUUGAGUUUUAACCUUGCGGCCGUACUCCCCAGGCGGCACAUUUAACGCGUUAGCUACGCCACGAACGGGGUCGAUUCCGCUCACAGCAAAUGUGCACCGUUUACGGCUAGGACUAC
rnacentral:misc_RNA from 1 species